rnacentral:rRNA from 1 species
AUACUAAGGCGAUCGAGAGAACUGUGGUUAAGGAACUCGGCAAAUUGCCCCCGUAACUUCGGGAGAAGGGGGACCAUUUCUGGUGACGACUUUUUCGGUCUGAGCUGGGGGUGGUCGCAGAGACCAGAGAGAAGCGACUGUUUACUAAAAACACAGGUCCGUGCGAAGUCGUAAGACGAUGUAUACGGACUGACGCCUGCCCGGUGCUGGAAGGUUAAGAGGACCGGUUAGUCAACUUUGUUGGCGAAGCUGAGAAUUUAAGCCCCAGUAAACGGCGGUGGUAACUAUAACCAUCCUAAGGUAGCGAAAUUCCUUGUCGGGUAAGUUCCGACCUGCACGAAUGGCGUAACGACUUCUCUGCUGUCUCAACCACAGACUCGGCGAAGUUGCAGUACGAGUAAAGAUGCUCGUUACGCGCGGCAGGACGAAAAGACACCGGGACCUUCACUAUAGCUUGGUAUUGGUGUUCGGUACGGUUUGUGUAGGAUAGGUGGGAGACUGUGAAGUGGGCACGCUAGUGUUCGUGGAGUCGUUGUUGAAAUACCACUCUGAUCGUAUUGGGCUUCUAACCUCGGACCCUGAUCGGGUUCAGGGACAGUGCCUGGUGGGUAGUUUAACUGGGGCGGUUGCCUCCUAAAAUGUAACGGAGGCGCCCAAAGGUUCCCUCAGCCUGGAUGGCAAUCAGGUGUUGAGUGUAAGUGCACAAGGGAGCUUGACUGUGAGACGUACAUGUCGAGCAGGGACGAAAGUCGGGACUAGUGAUCCGGCACCGGCAAGUGGAAGCGGUGUCGCUCAACGGAUAAAAGGUACCCCGGGGAUAACAGGCUGAUCUUCCCCAAGAGUCCAUAUCGACGGGAUGGUUUGGCACCUCGAUGUCGGCUCGUCGCAUCCUGGGGCUGGAGUAGGUCCCAAGGGUUGGGCUGUUCGCCCAUUAAAGCGGCACGCGAGCUGGGUUUAGAACGUCGUGAGACAGUUCGGUCUCUAUCCGCCGCGCGCGUCUAGAAACUUGAGGAAACCUGUCCCUAGUACGAGAGGACCGGGACGGACGAACCUCUGGUGUGCCAGUUGUUCCGCCAGGAGCACUGCUGGUUAGCUACGUUCGGAAGGGAUAACCGCUGAAAGCAUCUAAGCGGGAAGCCUGUUCCAAGAUGAGGUUUCCCACCCACCCUUGUGGUGGGGUAAGGCCCCCUACAGACCAUGGGGUUGAUAGGCCAGAACUGUAAGCACAGUAAUGUGUUCAGGUGACUGGUACUAAUCGGCCGAGGACUUACUC